ACGCUUAUGCGUUGUUGGGUAGGGGAGCGUUCUGUAAGCCUGUGAAGGUGUACUGUGAGGUAUGCUGGAGGUAUCAGAAGUGCGAAUGCUGACAUAAGUAACGAUAAAGCGGGUGAAAAGCCCGCUCGCCGGAAGACCAAGGGUUCCUGUCCAACGUUAAUCGGGGCAGGGUGAGUCGACCCCUAAGGCGAGGCCGAAAGGCGUAGUCGAUGGGAAACAGGUUAAUAUUCCUGUACUUGGUGUUACUGCGAAGGGGGGACGGAGAAGGCUAUGUUGGCCGGGCGACGGUUGUCCCGGUUUAAGCGUGUAGGCUGGUUUUCCAGGCAAAUCCGGAAAAUCAAGGCUGAGGCGUGAUGACGAGGCACUACGGUGCUGAAGCAACAAAUGCCCUGCUUCCAGGAAAAGCCUCUAAGCAUCAGGUAACAUCAAAUCGUACCCCAAACCGACACAGGUGGUCAGGUAGAGAAUACCAAGGCGCUUGAGAGAACUCGGGUGAAGGAACUAGGCAAAAUGGUGCCGUAACUUCGGGAGAAGGCACGCUGAUAUGUAGGUGAAGUCCCUCGCGGAUGGAGCUGAAAUCAGUCGAAGAUACCAGCUGGCUGCAACUGUUUAUUAAAAACACAGCACUGUGCAAACACGAAAGUGGACGUAUACGGUGUGACGCCUGCCCGGUGC
rnacentral:rRNA from 1 species